GCCUGGGUGGCUCAGUUGGUUAAGCGGCUGACUUCGGCUCAGGUCAUGAUCUCACGGUCCGUGAGUUCGAGUCCCACAUUGGGCU
rnacentral:tRNA from 1 species